GGCCAGGGAUGUGGCAAGAAAGACUUCUUCCACAUCAACCGGAAGCCUCUCCUGGGACAAGGGAAUUGAGUGGUAGUCCUGGAUUUAUUUGGAUGUCAACUUCAGCAGGGUGGGCCAGCAACAACUUAGCAGGGGUAGGGGAGGUGGCAAGGUAGGGUGAGGGUAAGGGCGAGGGUGAAGGUGAGGGCGAGUGUCAGAUGUACCUUUGCCCAGGUAGUCAGCUGGGAAAGCAGAGACACCGGGCCAAGCUGGAGGUCGUGACCGCCUGGAGAAAAGACCUCCCCUUUCUGAUUUACACAAAGGUUCCCCAUGAGUUUGCGGGAGCCUCCACUGGUCUGAAAGUGUUCCAGGUUCAACACCGAGGGCUUAUUAUCUCAAUAAGAAAAAGCUGCCUCUUCCCAACAGGAAUUUCCAGUCGUGGUUAUUAGCCUAGGUGUGACCCAAAGGCAUCAACUCCACAUGCUGCAAGUAGUCUCCAGCCACAGGAAGUCAAGACACAGGAAGUGCAAAGCCAGGUCCUACACUUACCUUCCUGGUGUCUUUAGCAAGGACUGCUGUAUCUCUGUGCUCAUUUCUCCUGAACUGGUUGACCCCUACGUCCCUAAAUGAUGUUUGGAGCAGAGGCAGGCUUUCACUAUGGAGUCUUGGCUAGCCUGGAACACACAGAGAUGUAUCUUCCCCUGCUGGGAUUAAAGGCCUAGCUCACACUAGCCAGAAUUUUACAGAAGAAGAAGGAGGAGGAGGAGGAGGAGGAGGAGGAGAAGGAGGAGAAGGAGAGGAGAAAGAAGAAGAAGAAGAAGAAGAAGAAGAAGAAGAAGAAGAAGAAGAAGAAGAAGAAGGAAGAAGAAGAAAGAAGAAGAAAAGAAGAAGAAAAGAAGAAGAAGAAAACGGAAAUUUUUAUUUGGACAAAAACUUAGGCCUUGGCAGCAUGGGGGCUCAAGCCUGGAUUCCCAAUUCUCUGAAGGCUGAUGCAGGAGGAUUAAUGUGAGUUUGAUGCCUGCGUGGUAUAGUAUGAGACAGUAUAAAGAAAGACCCCCCCCCCCC
rnacentral:lncRNA from 1 species